UAUUCCCUAGUUUAUUAUGCUUUAUUUCACCAUGUGUUUGUUCUAGUCUGUUAUGCCUUCCCUUAUCAUGUUUCUGCAAUUUGGUGUGCUCUUUUCUCAUGUGAAUCCCUUCCCUUUUACCCCUUUUUAUAAGAGUACAGUUCCACCCAUAGUAGCACUUUGUUAUUGCUGCCGAUGACUUUGAACUAGGUUCUUUGAACCCCUUACUCAAAUCAAUUCUCACUUCCCUUUUCCCUUUAUGUGCUGAGCCUGACUUGGGUCUGGUGGUGUGCUAAUCAUCAUUUAGACUCUGGUCUGACCUUUAAGGUCUGCUCAGCUCUUAACUUGUUUGACCCAACAAGUGGUCAGGGGUGUGCCAG
rnacentral:lncRNA from 1 species